UGAGCUUAUCCGAGAGACAUAUUGAGUGU
rnacentral:piRNA from 1 species